rnacentral:rRNA from 1 species
UACGUAGGUGGCAAGCGUUAUCCGGAAUUAUUGGGCGUAAAGCGCGCGCAGGCGGUUUCUUAAGUCUGAUGUGAAAGCCCCCGGCUCAACUGGGGAGGGUCACGCGAUACUGAUCGACUCGAAGGCAGGAGAGGGUAGUGGAAUUCCCGGUGUAGUGGUGAAAUGCGUAGAUAUCGGGAGGAACACCAGUGGCGAAGGCGACUACCUGGCCUGUUCUUGACGCUGAGGCGCGAAAGCUAGGGGAGCAAACGGG